rnacentral:rRNA from 1 species
CGUAGGGUGCGAGCGUUAAUCGGAAUUACUGGGCGUAAAGCGUGCGCAGGCGGUUUAGUAAGACAGGCGUGAAAUCCCCGGGCUCAACCUGGGAACUGCGCUUGUGACUGCUAAGCUAGAGUACGGCAGAGGGGGGUGGAAUUCCACGUGUAGCAGUGAAAUGCGUAGAGAUGUGGAGGAACACCAAUGGCGAAGGCAGCCCCCUGGGUCGAUACUGACGCUCAUGCACGAAAGCGUGGGUAGCAAACAGGAUUAGAUACCCUGGUAGUCCACGCCCUAAACGAUGUCAACUAGGUGUUGGGAGGGUAAAACCUUUUAGUACCGGAGCUAACGCGUGAAGUUGACCGCCUGGGGGAGUACGGCCGCAAGGUUA